UCAGAGCAACAGAAAUCCCCAGAACAGGGAUCAGCAUAGUUUGGGGGUGACAUAAUUCAAUCUACUAGACAUGUGGAAAGAUUAGCCAAAAAUGAUGCUGGUAGAGCUGAUUAAUCAUUGAACUAAAGGAUGAAUGAGUUCUUAAUCCCUCACUGCCAUUCUUGCUUGGAAAUACCACAUAGAUCAAUGAUUUCAAUGUGAAAAAUUAUUCAAUAACUAGAAAAACGGUCAACCCAUGACCAGGGUUUAAAAGAACUUUACACAUUCCAACUUGAAUCAUCGUAACAAUUCAGCUGUUACCUCUUCUUCACAGCUCAGAGAACCGAGGCAGAGUGGAAUUAAAUAAUCUUCUUGAGAUUGCACAGAAAGGCUGUGCCAAGUGUCUGCCUCUGAUUUGUUCAAGUAACCACCUCUGAGGACUGCUGCUUGGGGUUCUCUCAAAUGCUAAGCUGGCGGAACCGUGCUCACAGGACCUGACUGAACAGAGAGAACAAGCCUUAGGCAUGCUGGGAUUCCCUCACACUCUCUGCACCCUGGCUGAUUCUCAGGUCCCCGAGGGACACACCUGAGCAUGUCGUCGUGAUAGGGGAAACUAAGCAACCUCAGUUCUGUCGUUAGCUAUACAAAUAGAGUUUGGUUUCUUGGAACCUGUGCUGAGCCCUGCUUACUCUCUGAGCAGGGCACGGGCGAGCUCUUACCACCCGUGUGCCGACUGCUUCUGCCUUUAAAUCAUCUGUCUUUGAACGUGCAAAAUAUCGUGCUGGCGAGAUGGCUUGACCUGCUGACCUGAGCUCCCGUCCCCAAGACCCAAAUAGUGGAGGAGAGAGACAACGCCUUUAAAUUGUCCCCUGAUGUUCACAUAUGGGCCAUGACACCCACAGCUCCUCCCAAAAAUGAAUGUAUAGCUAAAUAACUGUUUAAAAAAGAACUUAAAGUGCAAAAUGUUCAAUAAGGCCUCUUCUUAAGCAUCAAUGAUUUUUUUUUUCCCAGAGCUGAGGAUCGAACCCAGGGCCUGGCGCUUGCUAGGAAAGCACUCUACCACUGAGCUAAAUCCCCAACCGCAAUUUUUUUUAAUGUGGAGGUGGGCUGGUUCAGUAGUUACCAGGGCAUUUGGUCCUUCCAGAGGAUAUGAGCUUGGUUCCCUGCACUUAAUGUCUAGAGGCUCACAAAUGCCCAUGGCUCUAAUCCCAGGGCAUCUGACACCUUCUAUUGGCCUCCAUAGGCCCCUGCCCUCGUGUGUACAUACAUACACAUGUACGCUUAAUUGAAAUAAAAUCUUUCCAACAUGAACAAAAGCACAGCGACUUAUUUUGUC
rnacentral:sRNA from 1 species